rnacentral:rRNA from 1 species
CGAAGGGGGGCUAGCGUUGCUCGGAAUUACUGGGCGUAAAGGGAGCGUAGGCGGACAUUUAAGUCAGGGGGUGAAAUCCCGGGGCUCAACCUCGGAAUUGCCUUUGAUACUGGGUGUCUUGAGUAUGAGAGAGGUGUGUGGAACUCCGAGUGUAGAGGUGAAAUUCGUAGAUAUUCGGAAGAACACCAGUGGCGAAGGCGACACACUGGCUCAUUACUGACGCUGAGGCUCGAAAAGCGUGGGGAGCAAAACAGGAUU